rnacentral:rRNA from 1 species
AUGCUUCUCCUAAAGACUAAGCCAUGCAUGCCUUCGAAUAAGAAGAAGCAAUUCUCUCUGAAUCUGCGAACGGCUCCGCACACCAGUUGUAAACUAUGGCAAGAACGCCUGCCAGAACCGGCUUAAUUGUUGGGGACGGCAGGUGACAAGGAUAACCCUGGUAAUUCUGAGGCUAAUACUUGGCCGUAUGCCCUGGACGCCCUCGUGGCGGCUGGGGACCGUGCGUGUCAAUGCAUCGGGAGAACCGGGAAAGGACGCACAGUCAAACCACAUGAUGAGGUCCGGCUCUGGCCCUCACGGGUCAGGGUUGUUCCCUGUGGGCCUUGCAAUGUGCUUCUGACCUAUCAACUGCACAGCAGUGUAAGGGACAUGCUGUGGUUACAACGGGUACAGAGGAUAAGGGUUCGAUCCUGGAGAGUGGGCCUGAGAGAUUGCUCACACUUCUAAGGAAGGCAGCAGGCGCGUAACGUUCCCAUUGGGCAAAGCCCGAGGGCGUUAGGGGAAAUAUGAAUGUCUGCCAAUUGGUGGACAAUUCAAAUGGGUCUGUUGUAAACAGCCUUU